GUUUCUGAGGUUCUAUUUUGCCAUCAUCAGGUUUCAAAGAUUCUCCAUUUAAGUCUUCUUGGAUUUGAUCAUGUUCUCCGCUAGACUCGUCAGAUGACAAGUCCCUGUGUCCUUGAGAUACAAGAGGCUCUGCAGCUGAAUCAGCACCUGGGUCUGCAAAACUUACUUCCCCUUUCUUUUGCAGAUCUGCAUCCAAAGUCUGUCCCGACACAGUUGGAUGCAUUUUCUCUUCUUCUUUGCCCCAUGACUCCUUUUUAUCUAGAGUCUCAGUUUUUGGCUGUGGAACUAAGGCAUCAUGUUUAGAUUGCUCACCAGUCUUACUGUCUUUCUCUGACUCACGUUCCUUUGUGUCUAAUGGCUCAGCUGUGAAAGGGCCUGUGCCCUCCUGGUCACGGAUUUCCAUCUUCGAAGCUGGUCCUGAACCCUACCCCACCUCAAUAACAAAGAAGUUAAUCAAGCCAGUUAAAGUUUCCAGAUCUGUGUACCCGAGCAUCCCACUGUAGAAAGCAAUUCCACCGUGGCUGCAGAGUGCUAGUUCGAGCAAUGAAACCUAACCUAGGUGAACACCUGAAGUAAGAAAAGAAAAUCUGACAGAGGAAUGUGCAUGAGUCAUGACCCACCCCCAGAUAUCGAUCUCACUUAUUAUUCCAUUUUAGGCUGUAGCAUAUUAAUUUACCAGUCGCUGUAAUCAUGAACAAGCUGUGUCCUUCCAUUUACGGUAUAUCACUCCCUUUAUAUGGAGAUGAGUAAGUGGGUACAGAAAAGUUAGAUAGAAAGGCCAGGCCGUGCGGCUUUCACUCACGUUGGUGAACAGUUAGGCACACCACUAGCCUCAUUGACUUUGGUGUCUCUGCUCACAUAAGGGAGGUCUCAGCAACAUGAGGAAGGGUUGCAUAAACCUUCCCCCAUUUGGCAACAAGCUACCAAUCUCAUAGGACGUGCACUUAAA